UGUAUUGUACUGUGUGUGAGAGCUAAUAGUCUGCAGAUAGCAGGUUAGCACCAUUGCUAACAGCAAGCCAACAUGGUACGAACACUGGAGCCCCUGACCGCGCCGUGCGUGACUGGCUGUUAACGUUAUGCUUAUGCGUCCUGUGCCUGUUUUCACCUUCACCUUUCUGAGAGGACUGCAAAACAUGAGAACAGCAGGAGUCAUCUGGACAAUGCUGUGAAACUGGGCUCAACGUUACUUGCGCCCAACAGGCGCUCCAGUGAGUAGCACAACAAACACUGCGGUGCUACGACGAGUCGGCGGACUGUCUGAAAAACUUCAGUCACCCAGAAGUUUGCCCAGAGGAAAAACCGCCGGGCCGCCUUUCUCCUCGCGUGAGGCCUCAGCUCUGGAUAUCUGUGGAAAGCGACUACAGAAAGGCUCUGGACCCCCACAACGUUGUCUGUGCGCGUCGUUGACUUCAUUGCUGUUGAGCUUACUGCUCUUGGCUUAUGGUCCUGUAGGCUCAUUUGUUCUGAGCUUGGUUGUGUCUGCUUAAAUAUUGCAUUCUUAAUUUAGGUUUGUGACAGUGGUACUGUAACUUGUGUCAAUGCACUCCUCUCUCUCGCUCUCUCUAACUCUCUCAUGUUAAGUGCUGGUUCGCGUACUUCAGUGUGAUUUUGAUCUGUUCAGUGUCUGUCUUAGAGUUGUUGAGUUUUUCCUGUCUGUUGUCCUUUGUCCAGUAUCUGUUAUAUAGCCUGUUGUGUCUUGGUAUUUCACUUAUUUACUGUUCUGUUCCAUGUUUAGUGUUGUCCUGUUUCCCAGUCGGUUCUGUCUCUGUUACCUACCUCAUUCUGUUAGUCAGUUGUCAUGUUUCCUGUUUUGAGGUUCGGUUCCUGUUCCUUGUGUUCUUUGUUAGCUCCUGCAUCUUAGCUCCUAGUUCUGUGUCUUAGUGUUUACUUUUGGUCUGUGUACCUCUGUUAUUCUGCCCUUGUCUGCUCUAAGUAGUCCGUAAUCCCAGCUUCAGUCUGUUUUCAUUGUUGGUUGUGGUUCUUUGGCUCUUUCUGUCUGUGUGCAUAUAUUUAUAUUCCUCUGAUCUGUAACCUGUGUUCUGACUCUCCCUCUAGUAUCCCUCUGCCUGGCUCUCUCUCUGCCUGCCUGUGUCUUGUUAGUCUCAUGUCUGUCACCUGUGUUGCUCCCGCCCUGCUCAUUAGUCCCUGGUGUAUAUAUACCUGGUGUUUCUGUUUAGUCUUUGUCUGGUUGUUGUGGUGUUUUUUUAGUGUGAUACGCUCUGCGCUGUCUGUCUUGGCUCUGCACCGGUUGGAUUAUCUGUUUCAUUUGGAUUGUUUAUUCUUUGGAUGAAUCUCAGCCACUCUGCCAGUAGGUGUGCUCGCCUUUUGUUUUUGCCACAAUAAACCCUUUUGAACUGUA